ACUUUUAAAGGAUAACAGCUAUCCAUUGGCCUUAGGAG
rnacentral:tRNA from 1 species